GUGGGUUGCACCAGAAGUAGAUAGUCUAACCGCAAGGGGGACGUUUACCACGGUGUGGUUCAUGACUGGGGUGAAGUCGUAACAAGGUAGCCGUAGGUGAACCUGCAGAAGGAUCA
rnacentral:rRNA from 1 species